GUUGCUGAUAGCUCCGUUGGUGAGAGCAUGGUGCUGAUAACAUCGAGGUCUGGGUUCAAGUCCCCAUAUGCGGCACCU